rnacentral:rRNA from 1 species
UACGUAUGGUGCAAGCGUUAUCCGGAUUUACUGGGCGUAAAGGGAGCGCAGGCGGUGCGCCAAGUCUGAUGUGAAACCCCGGGGCUCAACCCCGGGCAUGCAUUGGAAACUGGCGGGCUGGAGUGCCGGAGAGGUAAGCGGAAUUCCUAGUGUAGCGGUGAAAUGCGUAGAUAUUAGGAGGAACACCGGCGGCGAAGGCGGCUUACUGGACUGUAACUGACGUUGAGGCUCGAAAGCGUGGGGAGCAAACAGG